rnacentral:rRNA from 1 species
CUACGGGGCGCUGCAGCAGGGAAUAUUGUGCAAUGGGCGAAAGCCUGACACAGCGACGCCGCGUGGGGGAUGACGGCCCUCGGGUUGUAAACCCCUUUUCUCAGGGAAGAAUAAUGACGGUACCUGAGGAAUAAGCCACGGCUAACUACGUGCCAGCAGCCGCGGUAAUACGUAGGUGGCGAGCGUUAUCCGGAUUUACUGGGUGUAAAGCGGGCGUAGGCGGCUUUUCAAGUCGGAUAUAAAAUCUCCCGGCUUAACUGGGAGGGAUUAUUCGAGACUGUUGGGCUAGAGAACAGCAAGGGGAAGCGGAAUUCCCGGUGUAGUGGUGAAAUGCGUAGAUAUCGGGAGGAACACCAGUGGCGAAGGCGGCUUCCUGGGCUGUUGCUGACGCUGAGGCCCGAAAGCGUGGGGAGCAAACAGGAUUAGAUACCCGAGUAGUC